GUGUUUGUUCUGUGGAUGAGGUAACGAGGGCACCCGGAGUUUAAGUGACUUCCUUGUCACACCCUUCCCGCACGGCAGGACCAAGACAGUCGUCACGAUUCCUGGUGCGGAGCCCCCGUGGCGCGAGCUGUCUCCCCCGGGGGAGGCUGGAAGGUACACCUGCUUCGAGUUGUGAGCAGGCCCUCAGCCGGGGUCAAAGGCAAGUUCCCGCAGGACGGAAUGUCGAUAUCCUCGGUCCCAAGGGGCAGAAGGAGCCUGAUUGGACUCUUGCCGCGAUCGGCACGCGUGCAGAACGGGCGCCCGGCAGAGGUGACGACGGUGGUGAUCAUCACAAUCAGAGUCUGUGUGGGUGAAAGUUGAAACUUCGGGGCCACGGCCUACCGGGUGUGUGCUCAGAGAUUCACAGCCAUGCGUGACCUCCCCCGUCCCGGGCCACCAGACCAGCCGUGGAGUCACUGGAGCCUGGGUGCCUGUUCGGGAGGGACGUGAGCCCCACCCAGCCUCUGCCCAGCCUCUGCAGAGCUCGUCUCCCAUGGAAUCGCCAGCUGAAUUCGGUGACCGCAGGGGGCAAAACCGAGCCUUUAUUUUACUUCCUGUGUCAUCAACAAGCUAAAACUUUUUAAUAAAACCAUCUGUUCUUCUUAAAUACUAAAUAAGAAAAUGUCAACAAAUAUUGCUG